AGAGUUUGAUCAUGGCUCAGAUUGAACGCUGGCGGAAUGCUUUACACAUGCAAGUCGAACGGUAGAGGGGGCAACCCCUCGAGAGUGGCGAACGGGUGAGUAAUAUAUCGGAACGUGCCCAGUCGUGGGGGAUAACGUAGCGAAAGUUACGCUAAUACCGCAUACGAUCUACGGAUGAAAGCGGGGGAUCGCAAGACCUCGCGCGAUUGGAGCGGCCGAUAUCAGAUUAGGUAGUUGGUGGGGUAAAGGCUCACCAAGCCAACGAUCUGUAGCUGGUCUGAGAGGACGACCAGCCACACUGGAACUGAGACACGGUCCAGACUCCUACGGGAGGCAGCAGUGGGGAAUUUUGGACAAUGGACGCAAGUCUGAUCCAGCCAUUCCGCGUGCAGGAUGAAGGCCCUCGGGUUGUAAACUGCUUUUGUACGGAACGAAAAGGUUUCCAUUAAUACUGGGAGCUCAUGACGGUACCGUAAGAAUAAGCACCGGCUAACUACGUGCCAGCAGCCGCGGUAAUACGUAGGGUGCAAGCGUUAAUCGGAAUUACUGGGCGUAAAGCGUGCGCAGGCGGUUAUGUAAGACAGAGGUGAAAUCCCCGGGCUCAACCUGGGAACGGCCUUUGUGACUGCAUAGCUAGAGUACGGUAGAGGGGGAUGGAAUUCCGCGUGUAGCAGUGAAAUGCGUAGAUAUGCGGAGGAACACCGAUGGCGAAGGCAAUCCCCUGGACCUGUACUGACGCUCAUGCACGAAAGCGUGGGGAGCAAACAGGAUUAGAUACCCUGGUAGUCCACGCCCUAAACGAUGUCAACUGGUUGUUGGGUCUUCACUGACUC
rnacentral:rRNA from 1 species